rnacentral:rRNA from 1 species
GAGGUGAUCCAGCCACACUGGAACUGAGACACGGUCCAGACUCCUACGGGAGGCAGCAGUGGGGAAUAUUGCACAAUGGGCGCAAGCCUGAUGCAGCCAUGCCGCGUGUAUGAAGAAGGCCUUCGGGUUGUAAAGUACUUUCAGCGGGGAGGAAGGCGAUGCGGUUAAUAACCGCGUCGAUGAC